ACGAACCGAGCGAACGUUGUUCGGAAUCACUGGGCUUAAAGGGCGCGUAGGCGGGCUGUCAAGUCUGGGGUGAAAUCCCGCGGCUCAACCGUGGAACUGCUGGGCAUACUGCGGGUCUUGGGCCAACUAGGGGCAGCCGGAACAAGCGGUGGAGCGGUGAAAUGCGUAGAUAUCGCUUGGAACGCCGAAGGUGAAAACAGGCUGCUGGGGUUGCGCCGACGCUGAGACACGAAAGCCAGGGGAGCAAACGGGA
rnacentral:rRNA from 1 species